CCUACGGGGGGCUGCAGUGGGGAAUAUUGCACAAUGGGCGCAAGCCUGAUGCAGCCAUGCCGCGUGUGUGAAGAAGGCCUUCGGGUUGUAAAGCACUUUCAGCGGGGAGGAAGGCGUUAAGGUUAAUAACCUUGUCGAUUGACGUUACCCGCAGAAGAAGCACCGGCUAACUCCGUGCCAGCAGCCGCGGUAAUACGGAGGGUGCAAGCGUUAAUCGGAAUUACUGGGCGUAAAGCGCACGCAGGCGGUCUGUCAAGUCGGAUGUGGAAUCCCCGGGCUCAACCCGGGAACUGCAUUCGAAACUGGCAGGCUAGAGUCUUGUAGAGGGGGGUAGAAUUCCAGGUGUAGCGGUGAAAUGCGUAGAGAUCUGGAGGAAUACCGGUGGCGAAGGCGGCCCCCUGGACAAAGACUGACGCUCAGGUGCGAAAGCGUGGGGAGCAAACAGGAUUAGAUACCCCGGUAGUC
rnacentral:rRNA from 1 species